UACGUAGGGACCAAGCGUUGUUCGGAUUUACUGGGCGUAAAGGGCGCGUAGGCGGCGUGUUAAGUCACUUGUGAAAUCUCUAAGCUUAACUUAGAACGGUCAAGUGAUACUGAUGUGCUAGAGUGCAGAAGGGGCAACCGGAAUUCUUGGUGUAGCGGUGAAAUGCGUAGAUAUCAAGAGGAACACCGGUGGCGAAGGCGGAUCUCUGGGCCUUACCUGACGCUGAGGCGCGAAAGCUAGGGGAGCGAACAGG
rnacentral:rRNA from 1 species